rnacentral:tRNA from 3 species
GGAGGUAUACCCAAGUUCGGCUGAAGGGAUCGGUCUUGAAAACCGACAGGGGUGUCAAAACCCGCGGGGGUUCGAAUCCCUCUACCUCCUCCA